AGUGAACGCUGGCGGUAGGCCUAACACAUGCAAGUCGAACGGCCGCACAGUAAGAGCUUGCUCUUACGGGUGGCGAGUGGCGGACGGGUGAGGAAUACAUCGGAAUCUACUUUUUCGUGGGGGAUAACGUAGGGAAACUUACGCUAAUACCGCAUACGACCUACGGGUGAAAGCAGGGGAUCUUCGGACCUUGCGCGAUUGAAUGAGCCGAUGUCGGAUUAGCUAGUUGGCGGGGUAAAGGCCCACCAAGGCGACGAUCCGUAGCUGGUCUGAGAGGAUGAUCGGCCACACUGGAACUGAGACACGGUCCAGACUCCUACGGGAGGCAGCAGUGGGGAAUAUUGGACAAUGGGCGCAAGCCUGAUCCAGCCAUACCGCGUGGGUGAAGAAGGCCUUCGGGUUGUAAAGCCCUUUUGUUGGGAAAGAAAAGCAGCAGAUUAAUACCCCGCUGUUCUGACGGUACCCAAAGAAUAAGCACCGGCUAACUUCGUG
rnacentral:rRNA from 1 species